UGCACUCCAAAGUAAUGCAGGAAUUAGAUAUUUUACAUGGGAAUAAAGUAUUAGGGGAGCCAUGAUUUAUAUACCAACAAAGAGUAUGCAGAUAAUACAACUUUCAUUGAGCCAUUUUUUAUCUGUAUCGAUUUUGAUCCCUGAAAUUUAACCAGAUGCAUCUUGAUCUGUUUUUGAUCCAAGGAAUUCCAGAAACUUGAUGUGAUGAUGGAUUACUUUUAGUCACCCUUCACGGUCACGGCCACCUAUGAAACACAGUGCAAUGCAUCUCCAACACAUUUAGGUAUGUAUGUAAACUACUAUCUGCAGCAGGGUAAGAUUAUAUUAGAAUCAUCAAGUACCUUGUACCAAGUAAAGAGUAAUCAUCAAGUACCAAGUAAAGAAUAUUACUAAGAAUCAUGCCUAGCUUUCUAACCAACUUGCAGAUUUCUUCUCCCCUGCAUAGGUAUCUAGGAAGACCCAAAAUCGUACAGCUUAAAAUUCAGCGAGAUGCAUUGCAUCCUUCAACCAAGGAACAGUCGUUGCCAUCCCCUCUGCAUACAGGAAAUGGCCACCAAUCCACCUUCUUCCUGAAAAGCAGAGCAAAGAAGAACAGAGUAGAGAUAUAAUGGGUGAUACACUUGAAGG
rnacentral:lncRNA from 1 species